rnacentral:rRNA from 1 species
AAACUCGGCAAAUUAACACCGUAACUUCGGGAGAAGGUGUGCCCUUUGACGUGUAGGACUUUACGUCUGAAGCGUUGGGGGGUUGCAGAGAAACGGGGGUUGCGACUGUUUACUAAAAACACAGGACUCUGCGAACUCGCAAGAGGACGUAUAGGGUCUGACGCCUGCCCGGUGCUGGAAGGUUAAGGGGAGUUGUCAGCGUAAGCGAAGCAACGAACUGAAGCCCCAGUAAACGGCGGCCGUAACGAUAACGGUCCUAAGGUAGCGAAAUUCCUUGUCGGGUAAGUUCCGACCUGCACGAAUGGCGUAACGACAUCCCCACUGUCUCGACCAGCGACUCAGCGAAAUUGUAAUCGCGGUGAAGAUACCGUGUACCCGCGGCAAGACGGAAAGACCCCAUGAACCUUUACUGCAACUUGACAGUGAAGCUCGGGACAGACUGCGUAGGAUAGGUGGGAGGCUGUGAAGCCGGGAUUCUGGUCUCGGCUGAGCCAACCUUGAAAUACCACCCUGUUUGUUCUGGGCUUCUAACCCAGGCGUGUAAGCCACGCCGGGGACACUGUCUGGUGGGCAGUUUGACUGGGGCGGUCGCCUCCCAAAAAGUAACGGAGGCGCGCGACGGUUCCCUCAGGCUGAUUGGAAACCAGCCGUAGAGUGUAAUGGCAUAAGGGAGCUUGACUGUGAGACCGACAGGUCGAGCAGGUGCGAAAGCAGGUCAUAGUGAUCCGGCAGUUCUGUAUGGAAGGGCUGUCGCUCAUCGGACAAAAGGUACUCUGGGGAUAACAGGCUGAUCGCGCCUGAGAGUUCAUAUCGGCGGCGCGGUUUGGCACCUCGAUGUCGGCUCAUCGCAUCCUGGGGCUGGAGCAGGUCCCAAGGGUUUGGCUGUUCGCCAAUUAAAGCGGUACGCGAGCUGGGUUUAGAACGUCGUGAGACAGUUCGGUCCCUAUCUGCCGUGGGCGCAGGAUACUUGAGAGGGUCUAACCAUAGUACGAGAGGACCUGGUUGGACGUACCUCUGGUGAUCCGGUUGUUCCGCCUGGAGCAUCGCCGGGUAGCUAUGUACGGAAUGGAUAACCACUGAAAGCAUCUAAGUGGGAAGCCAGCCUCAAGAUGAGGUAUCCCGGGGCCUUGAGCCCCCUGAAGGCCCGUCGAAGACUACGACGUAAUAGGCUGGGUGUGGAAGCGCAGCAAUGUGUGGAGCUAACCAGUACUAAUCGGCCGUGAGGCUUGACCUG